rnacentral:rRNA from 1 species
CUACGGGUGGCACCAGUGAGGAAUAUUGCACAAUGGGGGGAACCCUGAUGCAGCAACGCCGCGUGGAGGAUGACGCAUUUCGGUGUGUAAACUCCUUUUAUAUGUCAAGAAAAUGACGGUAGCAUAUGAAUAAGCACCGGCUAACUCUGUGCCAGCAGCCGCGGUAAUACGGAGGGUGCAAGCGUUACUCGGAAUCACUGGGCGUAAAGGACGCGUAGGCGGGUUGGAAAGUCAGGUGUGAAAUCCUACAGCUUAACUGUAGAACUGCACUUGAAACUUCUAAUCUAGAGUAUGGGAGGGGGGGAUGGAAUUAGUGGUGUAGGGGUAAAAUCCGUAGAUAUCACUAGGAAUACCUAAAGCGAAGGCGAUCUCCUGGAACAUUACUGACGCUAAGGCGUGAAAGCGUGGGGAGCAAACAGGAUAGAUACCCCCGUAGUC